UACGUAGGGCGCAAGCGUUGUCCGGAAUUAUUGGGCGUAAAGAGCUCGUAGGCGGUUCGUCGCGUCGGCUGUGAAAACCCGGAGCUCAACUCCGGGCCUGCAGUCGAUACGGGCGGACUUGAGUUCGGCAGGGGAGACUGGAAUUCCUGGUGUAGCGGUGAAAUGCGCAGAUAUCAGGAGGAACACCAAUGGCGAAGGCAGCACUCUGGGACGGUACUGACGCUGAGACGCGAAAGCGUGGGGAGCAAACAGG
rnacentral:rRNA from 1 species